rnacentral:misc_RNA from 1 species
GAUGAAGAACGCAGCGAAAUGCGAUAAGUAAUGUGAAUUGCAGAAUUCAGUGAAUCAUCGAGUCUUUGAACGCACAUUGCGCCCCCUGGUAUUCCGGGGGGCAUGCCUGUCCGAGCGUCAUUGCUGCCCUCAAGCUCGGCUUGUGUGUUGGGCCCCGCCCCCCGGCUCCCGGGGGGCGGGCCCGAAAGGCAGCGGCGGCACCGCGUCCGGUCCUCGAGCGUAUGGGGCUUCGUCACCCGCUCCGUAGGCCCGGCCGGCGCCCGCCGGCGACCCCCCUCAAUCUUUUCAGGUUGACCUCGGAUCAGGUAGGGAUACCCGCUGAACUUAAGCAUAUCAAUAAGCGGAGGA